rnacentral:rRNA from 1 species
UGGGGAAUAUUGGACAAUGGGCGCAAGCCUGAUCCAGCCAUGCCGCGUGUGUGAAGAAGGCCUUUUGGUUGUAAAGCACUUUAAGCGAGGAGGAGGCUACUUGGAUUAAUACUCUAGGAUAGUGGACGUUACUCGCAGAAUAAGCACCGGCUAACUCUGUGCCAGCAGCCGCGGUAAUACAGAGGGUGCGAGCGUUAAUCGGAUUUACUGGGCGUAAAGCGUGCGUAGGCGGCUUCUUAAGUCGGAUGUGAAAUCCCUGAGCUUAACUUAGGAAUUGCAUUCGAUACUGGGAAGCUAGAGUAUAGGAGAGGAUGGUAGAAUUCCAGGUGUAGCGGUGAAAUGCGUAGAGAUCUGGAGGAAUACCGAUGGCGAAGGCAGCCAUCUGGCCUAAUACUGACGCUGAGGUACGAAAGCAUGGGGAGCAAACAGG